UACGAGGGGGGCGAGCGUUGUUCGGAAUUAUUGGGCGUAAAGGGUGCGUAGGCGGUUUGGUAAGUCUCGUGUGAAAUCUCCGGGCUCAACUCGGAGCCUGCACGAGAAACUGCCGGGCUUGAGUGUGGGAGAGGUGAGUGGAAUUCCUGGUGUAGCGGUGAAAUGCGUAGAUAUCAGGAGGAACACCUGUGGCGAAAGCGGCUCACUGGACCAUAACUGACGCUGAUGCACGAAAAGCUAGGGGAGCAAACAGG
rnacentral:rRNA from 1 species